ensembl:misc_RNA Metazoa_SRP Metazoan signal recognition particle RNA
GCCGGGCGAGGUGGCGGGCGCCUGUAGUCCCAGCUACUCGGGAGGCUGAGGCAGGAGGAUGGCGUGAACCCGGGAGGCGGAGCUUGCAGUGAGCCGAGAUCCGGCCACUGCACUCCAGCCUGGACGACACAGCAAGACUCCGUCUCAAAAAAAAAAGAAAAAAAAAAAAGAAAAAUACAGUUGCUCUUGUUGCCCAAGCUGGAGUGCAAUGGUGCAAUCUCAGCUCACUACAACCUCCGCCUCCCGGGUUCAAGCGAUUCUCCUGCCUCAG